rnacentral:ncRNA from 1 species
AAUAAAAAUAAUAAAUGUGUUUUUCAUAACAUUGGGAACGCACCAACUAAUAUAGCAAAACACACCUACUAAUAGGCAAUCAAUGAUGGUUCACUGCGACGCGAAAGUUAGAUUCCCUAUGAAGCUUUAAUGUUCCUCGGAUUGUCUUUGGGUUCUUCUUGUGCGACUUAGGUGGAAGGUGAAUAAGGCCCCCUUUUGGGGUCUUGAGCCACCAGUGAGAUACCACUUUGGAAGAGCUAGAAUUCUAACCUUGUGUCAGGACCUACGGGCCAAGGGACAAUUUCAUGUAGAUAGUUUUUAUGGGGCGUAGGCCUCCCAAAAGGUAACAAAGGUGUGUAAUGGUUUUCUUGGGCCGAAUGGAAAUAGACCCUCAAGUGCAAAGACAGAAGGGAGCUUGACUGCAAGAUCCACCGGACGAGCGGGGACAAAAGUCGACCUUAGUGAUUCGACAAUGUCGAGUGGAAGGGCUGUCGCUCAAUGGAUAAAAGUUACUCUAGGGAUAAUAAAGAGUUCACAUCGACGGGAAGGUUUGUCACCUUGAUGUCGACUCUUUGUCAUCUGGGGCAGUGGUACGUUCCAAGGGUUGCGUUGUUUGCCAAUUAAAGCGUAUGUGAGUUGGGUUCAAAACGUCGUGAGACUGUUCGAUCCAUAUUCGGUGCGGGCGUUAGAGCAUUGAGAGGACCUUUCCCUAGUACGAGAGGAUCAUGAAGGACACACCUUUGGUGUAUCAGUUAUCAUGCCCAUGAUAGACGCUGGGUAGCCAAGUGCAAAGCGGAUAACUACUGAAGCAUAUAAGUAGGAAGCCCACCCCAAGAUGAGUGCUCUCCUAUUCUUACUCCCUCGAGAGCCCUAGUCGCGAACAUGGUUGGGAGAGAAACAAGAACCACGAUUUUAUUAA